AUAUCAAUAAGCGGAGGAAAAGAAACCAACAGGGAUUGCCUCAGUAACGGCGAGUGAAGCGGCAACAGCUCAAAUUUGAAAUCCGACUUCGGUCUGAGUUGUAAUUUGCAGAGGGUAUUUGGAAAGCGACAUGGGCCUAAGUCCCUUGGAACAGGGCCUCACAGAGGGUGAGAAUCCCGUAUGUGGCCACAUGUCAAUUUCAUGUCAAAUCCCUUCGACGAGUCGAGUUGUUUGGGAAUGCAGCUCAAAAUGGGUGGUAAAUUUCAUCUAAAGCUAAAUACCGGCCAGAGACCGAUAGCGCACAAGUAGAGUGAUCGAAAGAUGAAAAGCACUUUGGAAAGAGAGUUAAACAGUACGUGAAAUUGUUGAAAGGGAAGCGCUUGCCAUUAGACCGAUCCACGAGCUGCAGUCGGAGGCAACUCUCGACGUAAAGCACUCGUUUUUCGGCCAGCAUCAGUUUCGAUGGUUCGACAAAGACGAUGAGAACGUGGCUCUUCGGAGUGUUAUAGCUCAACGUGUAAUGGAAUCUAUCGGGACUGAGGACCGCGCUUCGGCUAGGAUGCUGGCGUAAUGAUGGCAAGCGACCCGUCUUGAAACACGGACCAAGGAGUCGAUCAUCUAUG
rnacentral:rRNA from 1 species